CACGUAGGCAGCGAGCGUUGUUCGGAGUUACUGGGCGUAAAGGGUGUGUAGGCGGUUUUCUAAGUUUGGUGUGAAAUCUCCCGGCUUAACCGGGAGGGUGCGCCGAAAACUGGGAGACUAGAGUGCGGGAUGGGAGAGUAGAAUUCCUGGUGUAGCGGUGAAAUGCGUAGAUAUCAGGAGGAAUACCGGUGGUGCAGACGGCUCUCUGGACCGCAACUGACGCUGAGACACGAAAGCGUGGGUAGCAAACAGG
rnacentral:rRNA from 1 species